GUAGUGUUUUCUUCGUUUGCUUUUUAUAUUGAUGGACACGAGUACAUUUCAUAUUUCGAUCGUAAUUUUUUCAAGAUUGUUAUAAUUGUGAGGCCGUCCAUUUUAUUUCAUUUAUCUCAUCGGGUCGCAUGGAAUACACCCAAGCGUUCACUGGAUAACUUUGUAACCUGAGUUACUGAAAAUGUACAUCUCAUGCUUUCAAUCAUCAACAGUCCCACUUGUGUAUGAGGAGAAUAGGAGCAGCUCUAUUGCAUUCAAUUUAUUAUCACACCUAACGGUACAAAAUUACAUUUAUAUUAGUGCAAGGGGGUUUUAACAAGCUUACAUUCAGUCCCAGAUAUCACUGUAGAAACACAUUUAGAAGAACGAUAUAAAAGCAAACAGGAUUUUAAAACGAUUUUAAGUCCGAUCUCUGUCAGUAGCACCUUUAACAGUUCCAGAGCUGAACGUCUGUCAACAUCAAGAGUCAGGACAGGAACUGUGACACGAAGCUGACAGCCUGGUGCAGAUCCUCUGUCAGCUCCUCCGGCAUUGAAGUCACCACAGACGUCAGCUUAGGCCAGUCACCCACCAGUUGAUGUAAUGAGCAGAAAGCUGAGAGAAGACCUGAAUUCCUCUGAAAGAGCUGAGCACUUGCUGUUAAUGAGGCACAAACAGGCGUGAACUUACCUGCUGCAUCUGAGCCCGAACCAGCAAGUCCAGUUGUUCACAGAGGCACAGCAUCUCCAGGCCCACCUGCUCGGGACUCAGCCGAACCGGCGUCAGGGGUCUCUUCACCUGCAGCUCCACUGACCAGACACACAUCAGACAUGUUGGACGAUGAGGCGAAGCGGCGAUGCAGACAGAGGGCGGGGUCAGCGAGGUCGCCACCGCGGACCCACCUUUAAACGCGUGAUGGUAAACGCACGGCUGGCAGAUCGGUUCUGAUGUACAACCCGCCAUCUCGGACGGAUCAUCUGCUGCGUGAUGAAAAUCCUCCACAGAUCGUUCAUUCAGCUGCUUAUCUCAGCCGCAUCGUCAGACUGGUGCUGAGGAUGAAUCCCGGCGAUGGAGAUGGACGUCCGAUCAUCGCUGCCCCAAAUCUAAGUCUGGAUCCGUGUCCGUCAGAGGAUCCAUUGUGGCGCCUCUGUGAGCGAGAGUCUCGGCACCAAGA